rnacentral:miRNA from 1 species
UUGGAUGCCAAUUAGUAGGAU